rnacentral:rRNA from 1 species
GGUUAAGCGACUAAGCGUACACGGUGGAUGCCCUGGCAGUCAGAGGCGAUGAAGGACGUGCUAAUCUGCGAUAAGCGUCGGUAAGGUGAUAUGAACCGUUAUAACCGGCGAUUUCCGAAUGGGGAAACCCAGUGUGAUUCGUCACACUAUCAUUAACUGAAUCCAUAGGUUAAUGAGGCGAACCGGGGGAACUGAAACAUCUAAGUACCCCGAGGAAAAGAAAUCAACCGAGAUUCCCCCAGUAGCGGCGAGCGAACGGGGAGCAGCCCAGAGCCUGAAUCAGUGUGUGUGUUAGUGGAAGCGUCUGGAAAGGCGUGCGAUACAGGGUGACAGCCCCGUACACAAAAAUGCACAUACUGUGAGCUCGAUGAGUAGGGCGGGACACGUGGUAUCCUGUCUGAAUAUGGGGGGACCAUCCUCCAAGGCUAAAUACUCCUGACUGACCGAUAGUGAACCAGUACCGUGAGGGAAAGGCGAAAAGAACCCCGGCGAGGGGAGUGAAAAAGAACCUGAAACCGUGUACGUACAAGCAGUGGGAGCACGCUUAGGCGUGUGACUGCGUACCUUUUGUAUAAUGGGUCAGCGACUUAUAUUCUGUAGCAAGGUUAACCGAAUAGGGGAGCCGAAGGGAAACCGAGUCUUAACUGGGCGUUAAGUUGCAGGGUAUAGACCCGAAACCCGGUGAUCUAGCCAUGGGCAGGUUGAAGGUUGGGUAACACUAACUGGAGGACCGAACCGACUAAUGUUGAAAAAUUAGCGGAUGACUUGUGGCUGGGGGUGAAAGGCCAAUCAAACCGGGAGAUAGCUGGUUCUCCCCGAAAGCUAUUUAGGUAGCGCCUCGUGAAUUCAUCUCCGGGGGUAGAGCACUGUUUCGGCAAGGGGGUCAUCCCGACUUACCAACCCGAUGCAAACUGCGAAUACCGGAGAAUGUUAUCACGGGAGACACACGGCGGGUGCUAACGUCCGUCGUGAAGAGGGAAACAACCCAGACCGCCAGCUAAGGUCCCAAAGUCAUGGUUAAGUGGGAAACGAUGUGGGAAGGCCCAGACAGCCAGGAUGUUGGCUUAGAAGCAGCCAUCAUUUAAAGAAAGCGUAAUAGCUCACUGGUCGAGUCGGCCUGCGCGGAAGAUGUAACGGGGCUAAACCAUGCACCGAAGCUGCGGCAGCGACGCUUAUGCGUUGUUGGGUAGGGGAGCGUUCUGUAAGCCUGUGAAGGUGUGCUGUGAGGUAUGCUGGAGGUAUCAGAAGUGCGAAUGCUGACAUAAGUAACGAUAAAGCGGGUGAAAAGCCCGCUCGCCGGAAGACCAAGGGUUCCUGUCCAACGUUAAUCGGGGCAGGGUGAGUCGACCCCUAAGGCGAGGCCGAAAGGCGUAGUCGAUGGGAAACAGGUUAAUAUUCCUGUACUUGGUGUUACUGCGAAGGGGGGACGGAGAAGGCUAUGUUGGCCGGGCGACGGUUGUCCCGGUUUAAGCGUGUAGGCUGGUUUUCCAGGCAAAUCCGGAAAAUCAAGGCCGAGGCGUGAUGACGAGGCACUACGGUGCUGAAGCAACAAAUGCCCUGCUUCCAGGAAAAGCCUCUAAGCAUCAGGUAACAUCAAAUCGUACCCCAAACCGACACAGGUGGUCAGGUAGAGAAUACCAAGGCGCUUGAGAGAACUCGGGUGAAGGAACUAGGCAAAAUGGUGCCGUAACUUCGGGAGAAGGCACGCUGAUACGUAGGUGAAGCGACUUGCUCGUGGAGCUGAAAUCAGUCGAAGAUACCAGCUGGCUGCAACUGUUUAUUAAAAACACAGCACUGUGCAAACACGAAAGUGGACGUAUACGGUGUGACGCCUGCCCGGUGCCGGAAGGUUAAUUGAUGGGGUUAGCGCAAGCGAAGCUCUUGAUCGAAGCCCCGGUAAACGGCGGCCGUAACUAUAACGGUCCUAAGGUAGCGAAAUUCCUUGUCGGGUAAGUUCCGACCUGCACGAAUGGCGUAAUGAUGGCCAGGCUGUCUCCACCCGAGACUCAGUGAAAUUGAACUCGCUGUGAAGAUGCAGUGUACCCGCGGCAAGACGGAAAGACCCCGUGAACCUUUACUAUAGCUUGACACUGAACAUUGAGCCUUGAUGUGUAGGAUAGGUGGGAGGCUUUGAAGUGUGGACGCCAGUCUGCAUGGAGCCGACCUUGAAAUACCACCCUUUAAUGUUUGAUGUUCUAACGUGGACCCGUGAUCCGGGUUGCGGACAGUGUCUGGUGGGUAGUUUGACUGGGGCGGUCUCCUCCUAAAGAGUAACGGAGGAGCACGAAGGUUGGCUAAUCCUGGUCGGACAUCAGGAGGUUAGUGCAAUGGCAUAAGCCAGCUUGACUGCGAGCGUGACGGCGCGAGCAGGUGCGAAAGCAGGUCAUAGUGAUCCGGUGGUUCUGAAUGGAAGGGCCAUCGCUCAACGGAUAAAAGGUACUCCGGGGAUAACAGGCUGAUACCGCCCAAGAGUUCAUAUCGACGGCGGUGUUUGGCACCUCGAUGUCGGCUCAUCACAUCCUGGGGCUGAAGUAGGUCCCAAGGGUAUGGCUGUUCGCCAUUUAAAGUGGUACGCGAGCUGGGUUUAGAACGUCGUGAGACAGUUCGGUCCCUAUCUGCCGUGGGCGCUGGAGAACUGAGGGGGGCUGCUCCUAGUACGAGAGGACCGGAGUGGACGCAUCACUGGUGUUCGGGUUGUCAUGCCAAUGGCACUGCCCGGUAGCUAAAUGCGGAAGAGAUAAGUGCUGAAAGCAUCUAAGCACGAAACUUGCCCCGAGAUGAGUUCUCCCUGACCCUUUAAGGGUCCUGAAGGAACGUUGAAGACGACGACGUUGAUAGGCCGGGUGUGUAAGCGCAGCGAUGCGUUGAGC